rnacentral:rRNA from 1 species
CCUACGGGAGGCAGCAGUGAGGAAUAUUGGUCAAUGGGCGAGAGCCUGAACCAGCCAAGUCGCGUGAAGGAUGAAGGAUCUAUGGUUUGUAAACUUCUUUUAUAUGGGAAUAAAGUGAGGAACGUGUUCCUUUUUGUAUGUACCUUAUGAAUAAGCAUCGGCUAACUCCGUGCCAGCAGCCGCGGUAAUACGGAGGAUGAGAGCGUUAUCCGGAUUUAUUGGGUUUAAAGGGUGCGUAGGUGGUUAAUUAAGUCAGCGGUGAAAGGUUGUGGCUCAACCAUAAAAUUGCCGUUGAAACUGGUUGACUUGAGUAUAUUUGAGGUAGGCGGAAUGCGUAGUGUAGCGGUGAAAUGCAUAGAUAUCACGCAGAACUCCGAUUGCGAAGGCAGCUUACUAAACGAUAACUGACGCUGAGGCACGAAAGCGUGGGGAUCAAACAGGAUUAGAUACCCCGGUAGUC